UAGGGAAUCUUCCGCAAUGGACGCAAGUCUGACGGAGCAAUGCCGCGUGAGUGAAGAAGGAUUUCGGUUCGUAAAACUCUGUUGUUAGAGAAGAACAGCGCAUAGAGUAACUGUUAUGCGUGUGACGGUAUCUAACCAGAAAGCCACGGCUAACUACGUGCCAGCAGCCGCGGUAAUACGUAGGUGGCAAGCGUUGUCCGGAUUUAUUGGGCGUAAAGCGAGCGCAGGCGGUCAAUUAAGUCUGAUGUGAAAGCCCCCGGCUCAACCGGGGAGGGUCAUUGGAAACUGGUUGACUUGAGUGCAGAAGAGGAGAGUGGAAUUCCAUGUGUAGCGGUGAAAUGCGUAGAUAUAUGGAGGAACACCAGUGGCGAAGGCGACUCUCUGGUCUGUAACUGACGCUGAGGCUCGAAAGCGUGGGGAGCGAACAGG
rnacentral:rRNA from 1 species